GGAAACAUCGGCUUGUAUGGCGUUGAAAGAAACCAUGAAUAACUUCCAGAAGAUUAGACAGUAUGAUUCAUUUCUGUACUGGGCUGCGUUUGAAAUCCUCGGGGAAGAUGUAAGUUUCACUAAAGGCGAAAUCACGGAAAUUCAAAGAAGGAAUAAGGAUGUAAAACUCGUUUAGUUUUCUUCAACUAAACUAACGUACAACAGUAUGUUAAGUAACCCGUUAAUAUAAACGUUUGAACCGUUUGGAAAUACUUAAAGAAUUCUGUGAAUGAAAUGAUAUUUGGUAAAAGACAUCGACUUUGGUUGUAAAAUACAUUAGACCACCGAACUGUUAAGAUAAUGUUAUCGUGUGCGUAAUUUCAGGGGUAUGAUUUUCAAGUAGGCCUUAUAGCGAGUAAGGACUGAAUAUGCUGACCAUUUCAUCAGUAGUAGCCAAAGUUGACUUUUAGAACAGAGGGGACUUCCGUCUACGCAUGCGCGAGAAACGUAAGCGUGGA